ensembl:lncRNA
AAAGUACUCCCCAUUUUUCCCAGAAAGAAAUGUAAGUAGAAAUCGAUGAUCUAAGUGAGAACAUGAGCCUUUAUAAAGUCCCAGUGGGUGCAGUCAAAGCAGUCCCUCAGUCCCAGUAUAGAGUCUUUGGUCCAGACUGGAACAACUGUGUGCCCAGUUUGAGCUCUCUUCAGUGCUGUGACCUGACAGACCCAGAGGGGCCAUCACAUCACAUUUAGAAGCUCCCCUAAUGGAGCCACAACACAUGUCCAACACUUAGUCUGUCUUGUUGGACCAACUGGAAGAAAUGAUUCAAGGACUUAGUCACAGAACAGAGAUUCAAAUCUCCAAAAUCCAACUGGCUGCAUCAGGACAUAUAGUCUGAAACUCUGCACAGUUUCCUGUUUGAAGCUGCUUCCUGUUGGCUUCAGCUGUUUGGAGUUUCCAUUUUCUAAACUUCUACAUUCUGAACCUUCUUCAGCUCUGAACAGAUGAUGAAACACUGAAUGAUUUCAAGCUCACACUUUGUCUAAUAAACUUACAUCUUUCAUUCUUUAUACAGAUUUAGUCGCUGUGGUUUGUCAGAGAUCAGCUGUGAUUAUCUGGCAGCAGCACUGAAGUCCAACCCCUCCCAUCUGAGACAGCUGGACCUGUGGGACAACAACCUGAAGGAUCCAGAUGUGAAGCAGCUGUCUGAUCUUCAGAGUCCAGACUACAGACUGGAGACUCUGAGGUGGAGGAUAUGAUGGUAAACAGGACGGUGUGUGUGCUGAGAGAGGAGGAGCUGUGUCCUGAUGAUCCAGAGAGGUUGAAGCAGCAGCAGCUUGUGUGUAGAGACGCUCUGACUGGGCCAUGUUACUGGGAGGUGGAGAGGAGAGCUUCAUCCAGCAGUGACUGACAGAGGAAUGAGAAGAAGUGCAGAUGACUGUCAGUGCCGCAGAGUGAACUGCUCUGAGAACAGCUCCACUGUCAGACACAAUGUAGAGUCCAGCAUCAUCCCUGUGUGUCCCUCUGGAUCUGACAGAGGAUCAUCAGUGUAUCUGGACUGCUCUGCUGCUGCGCUGUCCUUCUACAGUCUCUGCACAGUCUCUGUCUGACUCUGGCUUCAGACCCUCCUGGAUCAAACUCACCUGGAAAGACUUUCAAACAUCACUCAAUAGAUUUGAAUACAGAAUAUAUUUGAUAUAUACUGUAGAUGUACUGUAGAGUUGCAGUUUGUCACUUGUAAAUACAGUCUGUGAGCAGCUAUGAGCUGAAAGAUCUUUCUAGAAACACGAAAUGUUUUCACUCUUCUGUUGCUUUUUCAGUUCAUUUUAUUAGAUAGUUAAGUUUGAAACAAUAAGUAGUUGAAAUAUUAAGAAAUAAUACAUAAGAAAUAAAUAGUAAUCCAUGUUUGUUGAUUAGAUUUAUAUGUUUAAAUGUGUUAUUUGUGCUAAUUGUGCAAUUAUAGAGGAACCUUUUCUAAAGUUGUGUUGUGGCUAAGAGGGCAUUUUUUGGCUGUCACACUCAGCAAGCUAAUUAAGAGACGAGCCACGAGGUUUGCACGUCUGCAGAAAGAUAAAUAAAGAGUGCCUUUUCUGGACAUCCCCACCGAGUAAAAAUGAAAGUUUAUUCCCUUUGAGUGAGGCCAAUGAGGUAAAUGUUUUGUUUAUUAUCGUUGUAUGUAAAUUCACGAGUUUUGCAUGGUAUUCAAGUGCAAUAGCCGCAGUGUGAAGUGUAAUGUGUACUUUAUUGAUCAUUUUGUUGGAAUGUUUCGUUGUAUAUAAUGCUUAAGGACUUUAGUAAGAAUAUUCAUUUAAGUUUGUAUUUCCUUUUAGUUCUGACGGCAUUGUAUCGGCUGUGGUUGAACAUCAUUACAUGUUAAGACAUGUGGAAGAAUCCUCCUGUCCGAAAUAAAUGUCAGUUUAAAC